CUGAUCUUCUGAGAUUAUAAAAGACUUAUAAUGAGACUAUAAGGAAGAAGCAUUCCUACUUUCAUCCUGGAAAAGGCAGAGCUGAGAUACUCAAUCAAGUUGUGGCAAAGAGAGAGAAGAUUGCACUUGGAUACCAAGUCAACAGAGACAGGCACAGGCGUAUUGUGUAUUCCGUGGACAUGAUGUCUGGUGAAGAAGAUGGUGUUGUCUAUGUGAGGCCAGUGUGAGUUAUAAAACCAUCAGUUUUGAGAAGAUCUGUUCCAGGAGCUACAGAAGAGACUUGAUGCAGAC